rnacentral:rRNA from 1 species
AAAAUGGCACUCAGGAGAAAAUUUACCUUCAUUCUAAUGCUGCUUAAGUGUGUGGUGGGACAUGCAACCUUCAUCUUACAGAGGUUGCGGAGGGGCAGCCCGUGAUAGUGAGUUUGCCUAUACCGACACUCAACAAGGAUUCCGUGCACUGAUCGUGAGCAUCAUACACAAGAUACGGGCAAAGAAAAGGGGGUAUUCCCUUUGCGAGCUUGUUUUCAUUAACGUUGAAUUGGUUUUAGCAAUUCAUACUAGUCACGAGAUUUAAAUCUGAUUGGCUGAGGAAGAGUUCCAACUUUUAAUAAUUACCACUGAAAAGAUAUUGUUCUUCAGAUAGUCAUCAGCUUCUGGUAUGGUGAGUCAAAGCGCAAAAUGAAUCUAUUUAAGAAAUGGCGUAAUAUUAUAGUUUUCCAAGGAGCAAUAAGGGCAGCUAUUAGGUUGUUCGGUUUAGCCUCAAUAAUUAAAUCAUUAUAAUGGGUCCGCGUCUAAGGGUAGUUGAAACUUUUAAUUUAUAGCGUUGGCAGCUGAAAUCAACAUUUUUGUCCCUAUAAAGACGUUUUAAGAAUCCUCUUAACACUUUGCGAUGAUGGUUACUGGCCGGAGUAGCAAACUACCCUCUGUCCGCCAGUGUGAAGCUCAUUUCUGGUAUUUUGCAAGUAGGGUGUUGGGAUCUCUGGAAGGAAAAUAGUAAUAUUAUGAAGUGGAGACAAAGUUGCUGAUGGGAAGGAGGCGUCGAAAAAUAGACAGGUACAAACUCGCAAAGUAGGCGUUGGAAAACAAGACCAUAUAGGAAUGCGUAAAGCGCGCUUCCGGCACGGUACCUCAUUUUUAAGAAACCUACGUUUUUCUUUUUAACUCUGCUGCGUCUUCACAAGACGAAGAGUCACACUUCACCAUCGACGUGAGAAGACGUGAAGUAGAUCUAGUGGCUCACCACCUGCUGCAGUUGUAGAGGUUACGUCUAAGAUUUGGCGUUUUUCUUCGUUGCCUGGCGAGUUUGCCCUUGGUGGAGGGAGGACGCGGAGAUCCAAUGGAUACUAUUGAGCAGAGGCGAAUAUAUUGAUUACCGCGAUACACAGCUCUAGAUACGUUUUUUUUUUUUUUAUUAUAUACUAUAUAUAUAUAUAUAUAACUAUAUUACUAUUAUACUUAGGAUUAUAGGUUAUAUUAUUUAUUCUUAUACUAUAUUGAUAUUUUACUAUUUAUAUAUUAUACUCGGGUAUAUAUAUAUAUUAUAGUGGAAUGAACGUAUAUAGUGGUUGAUAAAACUCCCAAGUAGAAGCGAAAGGAGAUAUACACCGCUGGCCGACCGGUCCGGCAAAUGAUGAUCUCCGGAACCUAGAUUCUAGUAAUUCAGCGAUCUAAGAUGUGCUAAUAGGCAUUUUUAAUUUGGCGCAUCUCUCCUUAGCAAAAAGUAAAAAAAAACAAAAUGACGGUGGGCUUCUCUCGGGGUGUCAACCGGUAGUAAGGUGGCCGAUUGCUCCGGUCGCUAAUUACUACAGCUGGAGCCGAAGUGUACUCUUGUGAUGGCUUGGCUGGGAUGUGUCAAUUUUAGGAAAUUUUGGACCUCUUUGGGGAAUUUCACUGCGGUGAAUGCAUUGUGGCCGGGGAGCCCAUGCCAUCGGCGUGUGAAGGAGCGCCAGCGGAGCGAGUUCAGCUCCGAAGGUUUCGGACAACUAUGUUUGUUGCAACGUUGCGCAGCAAUGUCGUACAACCUCUUUAUGUUUUUGCCGAUUUUUUCGCUUUAAAGGCUGUCGUUCUCCUACACGCAAUGGGCUGGCGUCAUGUAUAGUAUUGUUUUAAAAGGUUAAUAAUUUGUGUUUCUGGAAUGUUACGAUGUUCUAGUACUUUUAAUGACUUGGCAAUCGCUGCUCGUGAGUGGUUUGAUGGAUUCAGACAGCUUUGUGGCAGAUGUCGUGGUCAGCCUCUUAUAUUUGCCGAUUUCCGACCAACAAGACGGUCUCCUCAUUCACUUAGGUGUGGACGUUUAAUCUUAUAGUUUAUUCGUUUGAAAUGGGUUUAAUUACUGGUGUUCUGUCCUUUGCAAUAGUUUAGGAUGGGAAACCGAGAAUUACGAAUGCCUCUGAGUCGAUAGCGGUUUCUGGUGACACGCAGGUUCGGAAACCAGAGAGUUACACAUUAUCGUACUUAAACAAUUGCAUUGAUCAGUUCCAGGGCAAACUCUCCUACCUCACUACAGUAACGAGAUUCCGUUUAAAGUUAUGUGUUUAAAACGUGACUUAUAGCCCGCCAGCGGAUCCGCUCCGAGGACAAUUUAUCAGGUAUGUGUUUGGUUUGCGAUAGCUGUGAGUCAGAAAAACCGGAAAAUACAAUGUGCUGAGUGGCUGGUACGAUAAUCUGGUAAACGCUGGUUCGGACUCGACACGGGAGGGCCGCGGCGGUGAUGGUUUAGGGGGAAAUCGUCACGAGCCACGACUUCAUUGUACAUAGUUCACGCGUUGCAGCCGCAGAGCCCCGGCAGGAAGGCCCAGACGUGUGUUGUUGGUCACGACUGGUAGCAGUUUCACCCUAAGGGGAGGCAGGUCGCUGUCAAACGAUUUAACGCAAGGGUUGUUUCCUAAGGGCCAGCUCAGCGUGGACCAGAAACCUUCGCGUAGAGCAAAAGGGCAAAUGCUGGCUUGAUCCUGAUUUUCAGUACGAAUACGGACUGCGGAAAGCAGGGCCUAUCGAUCCUUUUGACUUUAUGAGUUUUAAGCAAGAGGUGUCAGAAAAGUUACACAGGGAUAACUGGCUUGUGGCGGCCAAGCGUUCAUAGCGACGUCGCUUUUUGAUCCUUCGAUGUCGGCUCUUCCUAUCAUUGUGAAGCAGAAUUCACCAAGCGUUGGAUUGUUCACCCAUAAAAGGGAACGUGAGCUGGGUUUAGACCGUCGCGAGACAGGUUAGUUUUACCCUACUGUUGCAGUUGUGUCGUUGAUACAGCAGUCCUGCUCAGUACGAGAGGAACGGCAGGUCCGGACAUAUGGUUCCGCUCUUGGUCGAUCGGCAGUGGAGCGAGGCUACGUCCGUGGGAUUAUGCCUGAAAGCCUCUAAGGCAGAAUCCCGGCUGAUGACCGAUACCGCGUACGGGACAUCGGGACCAUUGAAUUUUCGAGAGAUUCGCUCCCCGCUCGUUCGCGGGGGGGCUAGAAGAUGGACCCGUGCAGAGGGAACUCGGGUGCCUCGACAAACAGGUUCAGGCUCUCCCCC